rnacentral:rRNA from 1 species
AUGGCGGUCAAGGUCUAUGUCGUGUACUACUCCAUGUAUGGACAUGUCGCUAAACUAGCUGAUGAGAUAAAGAAAGGUGUGUCGUCAGUUGAAGGCGUCGAAGCUAAAAUAUGGCAGGUCCCUGAAACUCUCCCCGAGGAAGUACUUGGAAAGAUGGGUGCACCUCCCAAGCUUGAUGCCCCAAUCAUCACACCACAAGAACUUGCGGAGGCAGAUGGGAUCCUCUUUGGUUUUCCUACAAGGUUUGGUAUGAUGGCUGCACAAAUGAAGGCUUUCUUUGAUGCAACCGGUGGCCUGUGGAGGGAGCAGAGUCUUGCAGGCAAACCUGCAGGCAUCUUCUUCAGCACUGGUACUCAGGGUGGCGGGCAGGAGACUACAGCAUUGACAACGGUAACCCAGUUGACUCACCACGGCAUGGUGUUCGUUCCCGUCGGGUACACCUUCGGUGCCAAGCUGUUCGACAUGGACAAAGUUCAGGGUGGCAGCCCGUACGGCGCAGGCACAUUUGCCGCCGAUGGUUCGAGGUGGCCAUCUGAGAUGGAGCUGGAGCACGCCUUCCACCAGGGCCAGUACUUUGCGAGCAUCGCGAAGAAACUCAAGGGAUCUGCUUGA